rnacentral:tRNA from 1 species
AAUAAAGUGCCUGAUUAAAGGAUUAUUCUGAUAGGAUAAAUUAAGUAGUAUCUCUACCUUUAUUA